CAAAGANUGUGCUAAUACCUGAUACGUCUGGAAUUAUACUUUGAAUCUAGAGAAAGGUGGCCUCUUCAUGAAAGCUACUGUGCGGGGAGGAGCUUGCGUACCAUUAGCUAGUUGGUAGGGUAACGGCCUACCAAGGCGAUGAUGGUUAGCGGGUCUGAGAGGAUUAUCCGCCACACUGGGACUGAAACACGGACCAGACUCCUACGGGAGGCAGCAGUGAGGAAUAUUGCGCAAUGGGGGCAACCCUGACGCAGCGACGCCGCGUGGAUGAUGAAGGCCUUCGGGUUGUAAAAUCCUGUCAGAUGGGAAGAAGUGGUACAUAUCCAAUACGUAUGUACUUUGACGGUACCAUCAAAGGAAGCACCGGCUAACUCCGUGCCAGCAGCCGCGGUAAUACGGAGGGUGCAAGCGUUGUUCGGAAUUACUGGGCGUAAAGCGCGCGUAGGCGGCUAUUCAAGUCAGAUGUGAAAGCCCGCGGCUCAACCGUGGAAGUGCAUUUGAAACUGGAUGGCUUGAGUACUGGAGGGGGUAGUGGAAUUCCCGGUGUA
rnacentral:rRNA from 1 species